GUGCAGUGGCGGCGUGCUAUACAUGCAGUCGAGCGGAUCUUUAGGAGCUUGCUCCUAAAGAUUAGCGGCGGACGGGUGAGUAACACGUGGGCAACCUGCCUGUAAGACUGGGAUAACUUCGGGAAACCGGAGCUAAUACCGGAUAACUUCUUCCCCCGCAUGGGGAAAGGUUGAAAGACGGUUAUGCUGUCACUUACAGAUGGGCCCGCGGCGCAUUAGCUAGUUGGUGAGGUAACGGCUCACCAAGGCGACGAUGCGUAGCCGACCUGAGAGGGUGAUCGGCCACACUGGGACUGAGACACGGCCCAGACUCCUACGGGAGGCAGCAGUAGGGAAUCUUCCGCAAUGGACGAAAGUCUGACGGAGCAACGCCGCGUGAGUGAUGAAGGUUUUCGGAUCGUAAAACUCUGUUAUCAGGGAAGAAUAAGUACCGUGUAACUAACGGUACCGUGACGGUACCUGACCAGAAAGCCACGGCUAACUACGUGCCAGCAGCCGCGGUAAUACGUAGGUGGCAAGCGUUGUCCGGAAUUAUUGGGCGUAAAGCGCGCGCAGGCGGUCUCUUAAGUCUGAUGUGAAAUCUCGCGGCUCAACCGUGAGCGGUCAUUGGAAACUGGGAGACUUGAGUGCAGAAGAGAAGAGCGGAAUUCCACGUGUAGCGGUGAAAUGCGUAGAGAUGUGGAGGAACACCAGUGGCGAAGGCGGCUCUUUGGUCUGUAACUGACGCUGAGGCGCGAAAGCGUGGGGAGCGAACAGGAUUAGAUACCCUGGUAGUCCACGCCGUAAACGAUGAGUGCUAAGUGUUAGAGGGUUUCCGCCCUUUAGUGCUGCAGCUAACGCAUUAAGCACUCCGCCUGGGGAGUACGGCCGCAAGGCUGAAACUCAAAGGAAUUGACGGGGGCCCGCACAAGCGGUGGAGCAUGUGGUUUAAUUCGAAGCAACGCGAAGAACCUUACCAGUCUUGACAUCCCGCUGACCGGGCCUAGAGAUAGGUCUUCCCCUUCGGGGGCAGCGGUGACAGUGGUGCAUGAUGUCGUCAGCUCGUGUCGUGAGAUGUUGGGUUAGUCCCGCACGAGCGCAACCCUUGAUCUUAGUUGCCAGCAUUCAGUUUGG
rnacentral:rRNA from 1 species